UACGUAGGGCGCAAGCGUUGUCCGGAAUUAUUGGGCGUAAAGAGCUCGUAGGCGGUUUGUCGCGUCGGGUGUGAAAGCUCAGGGCUCAACCCUGAGUCUGCAUCCGAUACGGGCAGACUAGAGGCAGGUAGGGGAGAACGGAAUUCCUGGUGUAGCGGUGAAAUGCGCAGAUAUCAGGAGGAACACCGGUGGCGAAGGCGGUUCUCUGGGCCUGUACUGACGCUGAGGAGCGAAAGCGUGGGGAGCGAACAGG
rnacentral:rRNA from 1 species